rnacentral:rRNA from 1 species
GAUGAACGCUGGCGGCGUGCCUAAUACAUGCCAGUCGAGCGAACAGACGAGGAGCUUGCUCCUUUGACGUUAGCGGCGGACGGGUGAGUAACACGUAGGUAACCUACCUAUAAGACUGGGAUAACUUCGGGAAACCGGAGCUAAUACCGGAUAAUAUUUCGAACCGCAUGGUUCGAUAGUGAAAGAUGGCUUUGCUAUCACUUAUAGAUGGACCUGCGCCGUAUUAGCUAGUUGGUAAGGUAACGGCUUACCAAGGCAACGAUACGUAGCCGACCUGAGAGGGUGAUCGGCCACACUGGAACUGAGACACGGUCCAGACUCCUACGGGAGGCAGCAGUAGGGAAUCUGACGCAAUGGGCGAAAGCCUGACGGAGCAACGCCGCGUGAGUGAUGAAGGUCUUCGGAUCGUAAAACUCUGUUAUUAGGGAAGAACAAACGUGUAAGUAACUGUGCACGUCUUGACGGUACCUAAUCAGAAAGCCACGGCUAACUACGUG